AACAUCCACUGGGGAGAGAGUCACAGCGGUAGUGCUGGGGGCAGAGGUUGGUUACUCAGAGUAAUGGAAAUUAACCUGUGUCCCAAUUAAUUGCUGUUUAAUCUCUGAUUAAACAAUCAGUCACCCAGAAUUGGACAUGGAAGCAAAAUAUCUCCUGCAGGGAGAGUGGUAUGUUCAUUGCUUGGGGCAGAGGGGUGUAGGGAUGCAGACAGAAACCAGCUGGACAUGGGGGAGGAGUGAGGUGGGGUAGAGGAGAGGGGCAGGUAUUAAGGACGAAGGAUGGGGAAGAGGUCCAGGCACCAGGUGGGCAGGGAGGAGAGGGGCCAGCACCAGCAAGGAGAGGAUGAGUGGGGAAGAUGCCAGAGUCAGAGAGGGGUGAGGUUAGGGUUAGAAACCAGUGGACAGAGUGGGGGUGAGGGAGAUGCAGGCCCCAGGGAAUCUCUAUUGCUUUGGGGCUGUGUGGUGGGUUUGUUGCUAAAGGCAGGUCGGUGCCUCCCCCCACACACACUGGCCUGGAAGCCCUGCCCUAAGGGGCACAGCUGGGACUCUCCAUACUGGCUGUCCCCAUGGACACCGACUUCCAGCCAGGCAAACCCCACAGCCAGGCCCUUCUCCAGGGCAUGAGCAGUGUGUCUGGGUGGGACACGCUGGGCUGGGGGCAGGACUGGGUGAUGGGGAGUUUAAGUGGACACUGCAGGGAACAGAGACCAUCUGUAGCAAUCUGGACAGGGUAGCAGUCUCAGAUCACAUCUGCACAUCAAGUCUGCAUGGGGGUUUGAACAGGGGCAGCUACAUCGAUGCAAGAAAACCCUGUGCGGACAACCUGAGGACUUGUCUACACUAGAAAUGCUACAUUCUCCCAUUGGCACCAGUAACCCAACUCCCCAAGAUGUGGUUGCUAAGUCAACAGAAGAAUUCUUCCGUUGACUUUGUGCCAUCGACGCUGGAGGACAGGUCAGCUUAAGGUGUCACUCAGGGUGAGUCCCAGAGUGGACAAUGCUCAGAAAGCUCAUCUCAGAGCCCCAAAGCCAAACAGUUUUCUCCCUGGGCCAGGCCAGUUUGGCCUGCAAUGUCUAGAGUUUUCUCCCCAGGCUGGAGAGUAUUAAGGGACAUUGUAGGAGGAAGCAGUUGAAUGUCAUACGCAGAGGGGGGAUGAUCAGGGUCUCCCGGGCUUAGCUCUGGAGUCACAACCAGGCUCCAUAAUAACAAUCCCGCUUGCUCCUCCCCUGGGAUCUAGACACCCCGGCUUUGCCAGGACAGCAUGUGAGUACUCUCCAGGGAGAUCUCUGGCCCAUGGCGCUGACAUGCUGUCCACUGAGUCUGCAGGGCUCAUGCACUCCUCAAACACCUGCUGCAGGCUGGGGCUGCCCUGAUGCUCUCCACAGAGUUUACAGGCUCUGCAGGCCCCAGCGGGAAGAGGUUUCUCCAGGACCCUGAGCUCUGACAGCGUUUCUGCUCCUGGCCCAGCUUUCCCUGCCCUGCCGUACUGACAGGCUGCACCCACCGGGACAGCUGGGUCUGGCCCUCACAGCAGGUGCAGGGACAUUGUCUGUGUCCACAUUCCCUUCCCCCCAUUCCUGGGACAGGUAACACCAGCCCCAGGACCCCUCCCUUCACCCCCAGAGCAGGGGGGAGAGAGCCCUCGGCCUCCUGGGCAGUGGGACUGCCCAGAACAGAUUCGUUAGUCUGUGAAAGUGUCUCCACCCGGAGAGCUCUGUGCACCCAGCGACCCCUGGAAUCAGGGGCCGGGGCUGGAACUCAUCCCCUCCCACUCUGGGAGGAAAGGGGGCCUUGGGCCACCCAUGCUGCUAUCGGCCUGUAUAUAGACAGCUCAACAGGUGACAGAGCCAGUGCCCUGAGCUGUCAGAGCGUCACUGAUGGGGAAGGAGCAUUGUGGGGUAGUGCUGGGGGCUCUGUGUACUGCUGGGGCUCUUAUGCCAGUGAUCUUGGUGCAGACUGGCUCGGUGCAGGGCUCCACAGCGAUCAGCCUUGCUCCAGUCCAGUCUGACCCACAGUGGCUGUGACGUCUCUGCACUGCUGGGAGCAUGUGUGGGGGGGUGAGGGUUGGGACAGGACAGAUUUCCCAGCUGCAGACAAGCAGGGUGAGGAGGCCAGUGGCCCUGCAGAGCCUGCUCCAUUCCUGAGAGCCCCAGAGCGUGUCCCUCAAGAAAGCUGCAUUGGGUUCAUUUAAAUUGCUUUAAAAAUGCUGCAGAGACGGCGGUGCAAACCUGUGUGACUCUCCAGCUGUGUGGAUGCGGCUGAUCGGGUUUAGCUUCACAUUGGUCAGGAACCGAUCUGAGCUGAAGCAAGCUCAGCCUCUGCCAGAGCAAAAUCCAGGAGUCUGGGCACAAACUGGAACCCGUUUAACUGACCUGCUCCUGGCAAUUCCCAUGAACAAGGCAGAGGAGACAGGCUCAGGGAGGAUGGGGACUCAUUUCUCCAGGGCUGCGCUGGAGUCAUGCUGCUGCUCUCACCCCUUCCUGUGUCAUCCUUGCACAGGAGUAGGCUCCAGGGUCUGUUGUUAUUGCUCCUCCUCCUCCCCCCCUGGGGGUGUAAACCCUCCCAACCAGCUGUCUCAUCUCCCAGGUCUGGGGCACAAGGAAUGGUGCCAGGAGGGGCUGUAGGGAGUGAAUUUCUCCCUGGGGAGGGUGCUGGAGUCACCAAUACAAGCUCAACUUCAGUUACCUGCGAAUCCUCGGGCUCUUCUGAGUCCUGGAACAAGCAGCAGAGAGAGAGAGAGAGAGAGAGCAGCUGCACGUGUGUGUAGUUGUGAUGUUUAUGACAAAUGUACAUUGUAACUGAACAACCCAGUCUGACAAUUUAAGUUUAUUUUGUUAAGAUAAAUAUUUGGGAUUUCUUGAAAUUCCACAGUUGAAAUAAAAAUGACAUUAUUUAGAGAAGUUAAACUUCACUAUAGAUUUGAGGGGAAAAUUAAAAAAAAUGUCAAUAAUUCCAUUCUACAAAUAUAUUUAGAUGCUUGUUUUUUGAAAUACUGUUGAAAUGUAAAUUAAAAUAUUCUUGUAUUUACACCUUGUUACAAUAAUAUUUUCUAAAUUAAAAUAUUUUUUCUUUCAUAUUUUACACUGAGAUUUCACAGGGGUAGAAAAUUCUGACCGGAGUGAAUGACCCCAUCCCUCACCAUCUGCUACCCCUGGGGCAGGGGAUGGGGGAGGUGGGGGCUGGGGGUUCCCAGGUGUCUGGUUGUCAACUGGAACCUCCAGUUGAAAAGGGAAACUGGCAGCGUCCGGUCAGCACAGAAAGUCCAGUUGCUGCAGUAACUGGCCCCCACCACGGGGCUGGGAAGAGCAGCAGGGCUGGGAGGGGCCAGUCUGUGCGGCGGGGUCACUGUCAGGGGCCGAGAUUCCCUCCGGCCUGAGCUGGGACCGGGCAGAUUAUCAGGGGAGCCGCGUUUCUACCCCCAGCGUUGAGACCAGGACAGAAAUAAGGGCGGAGCUUCCCGGAGAAGGUGCCAGUGAAAGUGAAGAGAUGGGACCUGUCAGUCACAUUGUAAAACGAGACCUCGCCCGCCUCAUAGUCCA